rnacentral:misc_RNA from 1 species
CCCUUCUUGUAUUGCCUUCUCGUGUCACGCCGGCUCCGCUGUGCACUCAACCGUCCGGUCGGCUCCCUGCUCCCGUCCUCUUUUCUGUGCCAUCGAUGGCAGGGCGGGGUAGGGUGGGCCAACCGCCCACACAGUGCGCGGUGUCACAAGGUCCAGCACCAACCACACACUCUCUCUGUGUGGGAGGAAGCCAAGCAGCCCCUCCUUAUCUCCUGCCAAUGCCGAGCCAUCUCUGGUGGUGGCAAGGCAAGGCACCUACGGCGCAGGGAGGUCAGAGCGAUUUACGGCUGCUGAUGUCUGCGGUCGGGUUAAUGAAUAGCGUUGCGCCGGAGCGACCUGCGGCAGUGCGCACGCUUGUGCCAUGCAGGUGAUGGGCGAAGUGUCAGCGCAACUUGAGCGCAUCUCACCCAGCCCUCACGCUGCCCUGCGGGUGGAGAGGACCCUGGACCCACCCCUGCAGGGGAUGCACCAAGGUGUGGCAACCUGCCUGAUGGGCGCUGCUGUGAGGCGACCUGCAGAGCAGGUGGGUGGUGAGUAGGAUUUGAUUGCAGAGGCGCUGCUCCCAUAGCGGAGUCGGCGCAUUGGUGUAGCGAGCGUGUGUCCCGCGCUGCUUCGCGCCACGCGGAUGGGGGCCCUUGUGACGGGGCCGGUGCUGCAGGGGAGGGGUCGGCGUGGUGUUUGGCCCGCACUCCUUCGAUGGCAACCGAAGCGGGCACAGGCUGGAAAGCGAAUGCAGAAUAUGUCUCUUCGCGAAGUCGCACCCUUCACCGCUGAGCUCUUCCUCCUCUGCCGUGGAGUGCCUCCCCUCCCCCCAUCACCACCACGUACCCUCACUCUCGCGUCUACCGUCCGUCACCCGUGGGCUUCUCCUUUCGUGG